UCGCUGGGGCGCGGGGUGGCGCGGGGAGUCGGAGCACAGCCGGGACCGGAAGGGGGCGGGCGUGGGUGUGAGGGGAGUCGACGGCCCGGGCGGCGGGGACACCCGGGGGUCCCGGGAGAUCAGGGAUGUCGGGGCAUCGGUCUCCGGUCUCAAGUCCCCAGGCACAGCACACGGAUCCAACAUCUGCACCUUCGUUUUUACUAACCGCUGUUUCUCAAUUUAAAACCUGAUCAUCAUCUUCCUUGUUGGCAAAGGUGCCUUGGAAAUUGUGUUGCUGAGUCAGCAAGCCUUUCAGAUUUGCCCGGUUUUUGUUGUUUGUGGUUUGCAUCAAGAUGGGAACUCAAACAAGUCAUUCCUCCUAAGGAGCUGGUGUCUUCAUCCAAAAGGGACGCUUCGUGCCAGCUCUCAGGAGAAAAAGUACUCAGUUUUCUGGGUCUGGUUCGAAAAGUAAUCCUCGCCUUUAAGGAGCUUACGCAUUCUCCAGUGGAAGAGACAGGUAAUGGCACUCAGACAUCAUGUGGGCAUUGAUUGUUAGAAGUGGCCACUUUUGCCUUCGGAGCAGGAGUGAACUUAGGAAAGAUCUCACAGGGCAGAGUCUCAAGCUAGGAACUACGAGAUGAGUAAAUGGACAAGUGGGAUGGGCAUUCUCAGUGCAGGGUGAAGGGCAUGAAACAGCCUGACCCACCCUGGGCAUAGCCAGAAGGUCCAGAUGGCAGGAGCUGAGGGUUUGAGGGGCUCAGGGCAUCAUGAAGACAGCUUUGGGUGAUCUGUAUGUAGGGGAAUAUUGAAGCCAUGGGAACAGAUCCCAAGGGUCUAGGAGAAAUGGAGAGAGGAGGGGAGAGGGAGGCCAGGGCCUGAUUCCCAGCUACAGAGGAUGUUAUCAGUGACUGGCGUGGCUCUGGGGAGCGCCUGGGGCUUCCCAGAGGUGGGUCCUGCUGGCAUGCUGCCUGCUGUGCUGUUGGAUGCUGUAUUUUACCCUUAGGUGUUGGGUAAAGGCUGACAUGUCUUCAGAGGGCAGGGCGUGUUAUUGGCAAAGCUAGCCAGAGGCAAAGCACUCUCUCGCUUUUUGAUAGAGACACGAGUUCAGAGAAAUAUUUCUCAACUGUAGGAGUAUGAAAGCACAGUAAUAGAUGUCGGGGAGGCCACAGGGUGGGGGUCUGCAAACGAUGGUCCGUCAGCCAAAUCAGGCCCUCUGCCUUUUUUUUUUGAGACAGAGUCUCACUCUCUCACCCAGGCUGGAGUGCAGUGGUUCGAUCUUGGCUCACUGCAACUUCAGCCUCCUGGGUUCAAGUGAAUCUCCUGCCUUAGCCUCCCAAGUAGCUGGGAUUACAGGUACAUGCCACUAUUCCUGGCUAAUCUUUGUAUUUUUUUGGUAGAGAUAGAGUUUCACUGUGUUGGUCAGGUUAGUCUCAAACUCCUGGCCUCAAAUGAUCUGCCUGCCUCAGCCUCCUGAAGUGCUGGGAUUACAGGCAUAAGCCACUGUGUUCAGCCCCACUGCCUGAUUUUGUUCAUAAAGUUUUAUUGGUACGCAGCCCCUCCUGUUCACACAUUGUUUAUCGUUGUUCUUGUUGUCUAGUGGCGGAGUUGUUGCAAAGACUUGUUCU